AACAACUCUCAGCAACGGAUAUCUUGGCUCUUGCAACGAUGAAGAACGCAGCGAAAUGCGAUACGUAGUGUGAAUUGCAGAAUUCCGCGAAUCAUCGAGUCUUUGAACGCAAGUUGCGCCCGAGGCUUGUCCGAGGGCAUUUCCGCUAGAGCGUCACCG
rnacentral:rRNA from 10 species